AUGCCUUUUGAGGUGGUCUAUGGCCGCCUGCCCCCGCCCAUCGUACCGGUUGACCCCGAGACGGCGAGGACGGAGGCGACGGGCGACCUUCUUCGCAGCAAGGACGAGAUCCUUGCGGAGGUGCGCCAACGACUUCUCCAGGCCCAGCAGCUGUCCAAGAAAUACUACGACGGCUACCACCGCGAGGCGGAGUUUGCGGUGGGCGACUGGUUGUGGCUGCGCCUCCUUCACCGCUCCACGCAGUCACUCGACCCGCACGCGAAGCGCAAGCUGGGCUCUCGCUACGCCGGGCCAUUUUCCGUGCUGGAACGCAUCGGAAAGGUUGCCUACCGCCUUCAACUCCCGGUCGGUGCCCGCAUCCAUGACGUCUUCCAUGUGGGGUUGCUGAAGCCCUUCCGCGGGGAACCGCCGGCGACCACGCCGGUGCUUCCUCCAACCUCCGACGGGCGCCUUCUACCAGGACCGGCGAAGGUGUUGCAGUCCAGCAGCAUCGCGGGGUGUGGCAUUUGUUGA
rnacentral:rRNA from 1 species